rnacentral:piRNA from 1 species
UCCUUGAUUCGCAUCCCAGGACU